rnacentral:rRNA from 1 species
GACGAACGCUGGCGGCGUGCUUAACACAUGCAAGUCGAACGGAAAGGCCCUGCUUUUGUGGGGUGCCCGAGUGGCGAACGGGUGAGUAACACGUGAGUAACCUGCCCUUGACUUUGGGAUAACUUCAGGAAACUGGGGCUAAUACCGGAUAGGAGCUCCUGCUGCAUGGUGGGGGUUGGAACGUUUCGGCGGUUGGGGCUGGACUCGCGGCUUACGAGCUUGUUGGUGGGGUAGUGGCUUACCAAGGCUUCGACGGGUAGCCGGCCUGAGAGGUUGACCGGCCACAAUGGUACUGAGAGACGGACCAGACUCCAACGGGGGGCAGCAGGCGGAAGUAUGGCACAAUGGGCGGAAGCCUGAGGCAGCAACGCCGGGUGCGGGAUGACGGCCUUCGGGUUGUAAACCGCUUUCGCCUGUGACGAAGCGUGAGUGACGGUAAUGGGUAAAGAAGCACCGGCUAACUACGUG